UCAACUUUUAAUAGAACAUUCUCGUAUAUACAAUACGCAUACGUAAUUAAAAAAAAAGGAAACUACGUUCUAAUCUUAGAUAUAUUUUAAAAGUAAUCAACGUUACACUGAUUAAUAUAACUUUUUCAAUGUUUCGUGAAUUUUUAUUCAUACGAAGUAUUGUUAAAAUUUUCGUGUUCACUAACCACAACGACCUCGUAUUUAAUUUACAUGUGACUUUCAAGGUUAACUAGAGAUAUGUGUAAACUUUUUAACUUUCGCAUGAAAUUCUAAUUUUCUUAAAAAAUCUUUUAAUUUAAGUAUUAUAUUAUAAAAUUCGAAAUAGAAAUUUUAAAGAAAUUCUUAAAUUCACAAUAUGAUACGAUUCUGCGCAUGCGUAAGUGAUUUAACCGCGGAAAGCACUGCUCAAAUAAGAAAAGUUAUAUAGUGGCGCCAAAAAAUAAUAACCUCAUUGCGGUAAUAUAUAAGUUACAUUAUUGUGAUCAAGAAUUUUAUUAUUUAUGAGUUACUGCAAAUAAUAUGAAUAUGUUUAUAAGUAAAUAGUUUUGCGAGCAUACCCUCUGGCGACGAGCAGUCUCAGAGCAUCUAUAUGACCUUCAAAGGCUGCCCAUAAUGUAGGGGUCAUUCCUCCGUCAUCCC